GACGAACGCUGGCGGCGUGCUUAACACAUGCAAGUCGAACGGAAAGGCCCUGCUUUUGUGGGGUGCUCGAGUGGCGAAAGGGUGAGUAACACGUGAGUAACCUGCCCUUGACUUUGGGAUAACUUCAGGAAACUGGGGCUAAUACCGGAUAGGAGCUCCUGCUGCCUGGUGGGGGUUGGAAAGUUUCGGCGGUUGGGGAUGGACUCGCGGCUUAUCAGCUUGUUGGUGGGGUAGUGGCUUACCAAGGCUUUGACGGGUAGCCGGCCUGAGAGGGUGACCGGCCACAUUGGGACUGAGAUACGGCCCAGACUCCUACGGGAGGCAGCAGUGGGGAAUAUUGCACAAUGGGCGGAAGCCUGAUGCAGCAACGCCGCGUGCGGGAUGACGGCCUUCGGGUUGUAAACCGCUUUCGCCUGUGACGAAGCGUGAGUGACGGUAAUGUGUAAAGAAGCACCGGCUAACUACGUG
rnacentral:rRNA from 1 species